ensembl:lncRNA
UGUAAAGAGAGAAGAGAGAGGUGGUGUAAAGAGAGAAGAAGGGAGAGGUGGGGUAAAGAGAGAAGAAGAGAGAGGUGGGGUAAAGAGAGAAGAAGAGAGAGGUGGUAUAAAGAGAGAAGAAGAGAGAGGUGGGGUAAAGAGAGAAGAAGAGAGGUGGUGUAAAGAGAGAAGAAGAGAGAGGUGGUGUAAAGAGAGAAGAAGAGAGAGGUGGGGUAAAGAGAGAAGAAGAGAGAGGUGGUGUAAAGAGAGAAGAAGAGAGAGGUGGGGUAAAGAGAGAAGAAGAGAGGUGGUGUAAAGAGAGAAGAAGAGAGAGGUGGUGUAAAGAGAGAAGAAGAGAGAGGUGGGGUAAAGAGAGAAGAAGAGAGAGGUGGGGUAAAGAGAGAAGAAGAGAGGUGGGGUAAAGAGAGAAGAAGAGAGGUGGUGUAAAGAGAGAAGAAGAGAGAGGUGGGGUAAAGAGAGAAGAAGAGAGAGGUGGUGUAAAGAGAGAAGAAGAGAGAGGUGGGGUAAAGAGAGGAGAGGAAGAGAGAAAAAAGACAUGCCACAGCAUCAGAGAAACGUGAAGGAAAAGGAGCAAAAUGAGGAGAGGAGGGGGGGGAGUUGUAGGACUUGAGGUUUAUGCAACACACGGCCUGGCCUCGGCCUCGCAGCGAGCCUCCCCUCACCUCAGCACCCCAGAUACACACACGCAUGCACACCACAGGAGGUUGGUGGCACCUUAAUUGGGGAGGACAGG